UAGGGAAUCUUCCGCAAUGGACGCAAGUCUGACGGAGCAACGCCGCGUGAGUGAAGAAGGUCUUCGGAUCGUAAAACUCUGUUAUUAGGGAAGAAUAAAUGUGUAAGUAACUAUGCACGUCUUGACGGUACCUAAUCAGAAAGCCACGGCUAACUACGUGCCAGCAGCCGCGGUAAUACGUAGGUGGCAAGCGUUAUCCGGAAUUAUUGGGCGUAAAGCGCGCGUAGGCGGUUUUUUAAGUCUGAUGUGAAAGCCCACGGCUCAACCGUGGAGGGUCAUUGGAAACUGGAAAACUUGAGUGCAGAAGAGGAAAGUGGAAUUCCAUGUGUAGCGGUGAAAUGCGCAGAGAUAUGGAGGAACACCAGUGGCGAAGGCGACUUUCUGGUCUGUAACUGACGCUGAUGUGCGAAAGCGUGGGGAUCAAACAGG
rnacentral:rRNA from 1 species